CAUAAGCCUACUUUGUCGUAUUAGUUUACAAACGGCGAAAUAAAAUUUGAAUUUCGCGGGCAGACCCGUCGCUUGCCCCUUAAAGUGUUAGCUCUAUUCUUUGUUUAAAAUAUAUAGAUGAGUAAUAUGUAUGUUUUGAGGUCAGCACAUAAGAUAAGGUUUAUGACUUAACUUUGUGGUUCGGUUUUAAGGAUUUUCGAGAAUGUUUUGAUAGAUGGGGCCAAAAUAUUCCGAAACAAUUGUUUCUUAGUUAGAUUUUUAACUGUAGUAACUGAAACAGAAAGAAGCGAUCACAGAUUUACAGGGAAAAUCCACAUCUGUAGAUAACAUUGUUUGAUGGGCGCAAAAUUUUAGAAAUUAUUUAUUUUUAGAUUGUAAAUUUUUAUUUUAGUAGAUUUUUAACACCUACUUAAAUUGUACAUAAUUAGAUUGUAAGUUGACAUGUUGUAUUAGAGAUUCAACCAAUAAUAAUUAAAACCUACAGUGCAAGCUUAAAAUACAUAGAUUAAAAUGGCCAGAAAAUUGUUUUUAGGGUUCUGUAUGUCUCUAAAAAGGAACCCUUAUAGGCCCACUUCGUUGUCAGUCUGCUGUCAUCUCUGUCAAGACAAUAUUUCUAGGAAAUAAAAACCUAUAGGGUAUCUCCCGUUGACCUAGAAUCAUGAAAUUUGGCAGGUAGCAAUAUAUUUAUAAAACAAGUAAAGGAAAAAUCCGAAAACAGUGAAUUUGUGAUUACAUCACAAAAAAUGUUUUUUCUUGUACAAUGGUACGUAAUCCUUCGUAUGUGCUUGACAGAUUUUUUUACUGUUGAAUCUCUAGUACAAGUUACAAGAGCUACAAUAUACAUUGUAUUGUAAAUAAGAGAUGUGAUAUAUUUAAUUUUUUAAUAGAUAUAUACCUAAUAUAUAAUAGUUAUUACCUAAUAUUAUUUUAAUAGAUACAC